AUGUAUGGAAUGUGUUGUAGAUCAAGUUAUGGAGAGGGGGAAAUCGCAUCUGGAGCAAAACCAAGUGCAAACAUGGGUAAGAAAAAAGUGAUGGAUUCCUAUCUCAUGCCCAACCGCUUGAGUUUUUCAGUUGUGUACAAAACAGGAUUGUUGGUGUGUUUCUCAGCAGCAGUGGAUCAUCUUGACAGUGCAGGAGACAGGGACAGAGGUCUUCAGGAAGUUCAUGGGAAGGAUCACAGCAACCAGAGCACCUACCGUCUGUCGGGGAUGGUCUCUCACCUCGGGGAGAGCAUCAACACCGGCCACUACGUCAGUGACGUAGCUCGAGAGGACGGCGCCGGAUGGUUGACCCUCAACGACGCCCGUGUGACGCCCGCGGAGACGCCGGUCCUGAGGACCAGAGAGAAGACCGCCUACAUGUUGUUUUACGUCCUAAGUGGAGCAGAAGAGGGAAGCCAUGUCCCACUGGCUCAGAACCAGGAGCCAUCUGGAGCUGAGAGGGACUGACACCUGUGAGGCCCAGGAGAGCGCUUGAUUGGUGGCAGAGUUCCCGUUGUCCGCGGAAACACUGAUUGGUGGUGCCUCUACAGCCCGCUCUGGGGGCCACACCCUGCAGCCCCCCUCUACAGCUGAGGCCCACCUUUAAACGCCCCCCUAGGGGCCACACCCUGAAGCCCCCCUCUACAUCCCCCCCUAGGGGCCACACCCUGAAGCCCCCCUCUACAUCCCCCCUAGGGGCCACACCCUGAAGCCCCCCUCUACAUCCCCCCUAGGGGCCACACCCUGAUGCCCCCCUCUAGGGGACCUGAGGCCCCUCUCUACACCCCCCUCUGGGGGCCACACCCUGCGUCCCCCUUCUACAGCCCCCUCUAGGGGCUAACCAACCCCCUCUACACCCCCCUCUCGGGGCCCUGCGGCCCACCUCUUUGGACUUUAAGGCUGAUCAUAAUGAGGAUCACUUUAUUUUUAUUUUGUAUCAUAAUAAUGAGGAGCAUAUUCAUAUUAUGUAUAAUAAUAAUGCUGAGG
rnacentral:lncRNA from 1 species